AUGCAGUUCGGAAUUGCUCGCUCCGACAUCCAUGUCUCUGUCUUUGAGCCCGGUGACUUUCUCAUACGGUUCUCCGACCGCCGUGUGAGAAAUACCGCGCUCUCGGACACGGCGACGUUGCACUUCGGCCGUGCGGUCAUGCGUCUCUCGGCGUGGUCUAGAAGAGUGGGCGCGACCCUCAUCAGGCUCCCGUACAAGAUCAGGGUGUGCCUGGAGGGCCCGCCACGGCACGCGUGGUCGAUUGAGGGCGUCAAGCAGCUCUUCCCACCGCCGGCCAUCGUCGACCACAUCGAAGAAGAAACUUAUAGCGACGAGGAGUCGGCCUGCUGCUGUGCGUGGGUGUGGGUGCAGGAUGCCACCAAGACCGCCACCAUGGGCUCUCUCACUGUCGAGGAGCCGCCGGAUCAAAGCUCUGCUGACUUCCAUAGGCAGCUGAUGGAGGGGAGCAGCAAUGGCGCGGCGACGCGCUCCAGCCCCGUCAACCUGCUUGUCUACCCAGUUCUGAUUCACCUCGACCGAGUGUACGACUACACGGUGCAGCCAAAAAUUGACAGCGGCAGAAGCUCCAUCAGCGACAUCAGUGGCAUACCAUCCGACGACGACGGCUCGCUGGUGUACGACGACUGUGCCAAGUGGCACUACCGAUGGACGCUGCGCUUUGAGGACGGAACCUUCCCCGCACUCCGAACUGGCAGGCGUCCGGUGCACUCUCAUCUCAACUUCGGUGAUCGCGACGGCUGCGGCGGCUCAUCUGGCAGCAACGACAGAGGCAGGCCGGGCGGCGGAGGACCCAGCCGCGCCUCUGGUCGAAGAUCCAGCGACGGCGGCCAUCGCGACAACGCCGACGACUCCUUCAUGCGUGACUCUUCUUCCGGCGACCCUGGCUGGCAACGCCGUCUAUGUGCACCAAAGGGCGCUCCGGUCAAUGUUGCAAUUGAUGAUGGGGCCGGGAGACAGCACGCCCACGCCUCUAUCCAUGUUGAGGGCCACUUGCUGCACUGCCCUGGCGAGGCAGCCUUGCCCGUUGGCCUGAGAGCUGGCCUCCCUGAUGAUCUGGCUCUGCUUGAUGCAGCAACACCGGGCAUGCAGAUUGGGAACCUGGUUCCCACCCCUUUGCCUGAUGGACAGAGUGCAGUUGCCAUUCCCAUGUCUCCUGUGGGAACAGGUGUGCUGCCGCCCUCUAACCCUGGCAUGGACGACAGGGCUCUGCAUGCGCGUGAGGCUCCGUCCGGGUUGGCCCCGGUCAACUCUACGAUUGACCCAGAGGUGUCUGAUCCUUGCAUUGCUGUGGGGAACCAGGCGAGACAGUCUUCUCUGCAGCCCACAAAUGAAGCCCAGAGAUCUUUGGGCUGGCCACUUCUGCAACCCACAAGUGAGGCCCAAGGCUCCCUGGCCCCAGUGAUGGAGGACCUCAUUUCCUUUGGGCCUCCUGAGAUCGCUACAUCCCCUAAAGAGAUCCAGCUGCAGUGCUUCGUCAACUCGUUCACCUUGCUUUGCCCCACCCCUGUGCUGCCAACGCCGCCGCCAACACCACUGCCACAGAAACACACCCUCACCGACGACCAGUGCCCGAGUGGGCGCCUUGCCGGCAAGCCCAACUACAGACUCAACUCACUGACCAAGGCACAAUCCGUGCUCCUCAAGAAGAAUGGCCAGCUCCCCAAUGAUGAAUCACCGACAACCGAGGCCAAUCUGCAGAAAUACAAGGACCUGUACAAGCGCCCAGUCAGCUCAGAGUUCAUCGCGGCGGUCACCUCCCUCGUCUCCUCCACCGGCAAGCCCAGUAGUUGCGCCGCUGCAAGCAAGGCACCGCGAGCAUCGGCUCCUGGACCUGCGGUACAGUGA
rnacentral:rRNA from 1 species